GCAAUUAUACCGUGAAACUGCGAAUGGCUCAUUAAAUCAGUUAUCGUUUAUUUGAUAGUACCUUAUUACUUGGAUAACCCUGGUAAUUCUAGAGCUAAUACAUGCUGAAAACCCCAACUUCGGAAGGGGUGUAUUUAUUAGAUAAAAAACCAAUGCCCUUCGGGGCUCUUUGGUGAUUCAUAAUAACUUCUCAGAUCGCAUGGCCUUGCGCCGGCGACGGUUCAUUCAAAUUUCUGCCCUAUCAACUUUCGAUGGUAAGGUAUUGGCUUACCAUGGUUUCAACGGGUAACGGGGAAUUAGGGUUCGAUUCCGGAGAGGGAGCCUGAGAAACGGCUACCACAUCCAAGGAAGGCAGCAGGCGCGCAAAUUACACAAUCACAAUACGUGGAUGUAGUGACAAUAAAUACUGAUACAGGGCUCUUUUGGGUCUUGUAAUUGGAAUGAGUACAAUUUAAACCUCUUAACGAGGAACAAUUGGAGGGCAAGUCUGGUGCCAGCAGCCGCGGUAAUUCCAGCUCCAAUAGCGUAUAUUAAAGUUGUUGCAGUUAAAAAGCUCGUAGUUGAACCUUGGGUCUGGCUGGUAGGUCCGCCUCACCGCGUGCACUUAACCGGCUGGGCCUUUUCUUCUGGAGAACCUCAUGCCCUUCACUGGGUGUGCUGGGGAACCAGGACUUUUACUUUGAAAAAAUUAGAGUGUUCAAAGCAGGCCUUUGCUCGAAUACGUUAGCAUGGAAUAAUAGAAUAGGACGUGCGGUCUUAUUUUGUUGGUUUCUAAGACCGCCGUAAUGAUUAAUAGGGACAGUUAGGGGCAUCAGUAUUCAAUUGUCAGAGGUGAAAUUCUUGGAUUUAUUGAAGACUAACUACUGCGAAAGCAUUUGCCAGAGAUGUUUUCAUUAAUCAGUGAACGAAAGUUAAGGGAUCGAAAACGAUCAGAUACCGUUGUAGUCUUAACCGUAAACUAUGCCGACUAGGGAUCGGGCAGCGUUUCUAUCUUGACCUGCCCGGCACCUUACGAGAAAUCAAAGUUUUUGGGUC
rnacentral:rRNA from 1 species